rnacentral:rRNA from 1 species
CGGCAACAGCUCAAAUUUGAAAUCUGGCCUUUGGCCCGAGUUGUAAUUUGUAGAGGAUGCUUUUGGUGCGGUGCCUUCCGAGUUCCCUGGAACGGGACGCCUUAGAGGGUGAGAAUCCCGUAUGUGACUGGCCGCCUUCGCCUAUGUGAAGCUCUUUCGAC